rnacentral:rRNA from 1 species
AGCGAACGCUGGCGGCAGGCUUAACACAUGCAAGUCGAGCGGGCAUCUUCGGAUGUCAGCGGCAGACGGGUGCGUAACACGUGGGAACGUACCCUUCGGUUCGGAACAACUCUGGGAAACUGGAGCUAAUACCGGAUACGCCCUUAUGGGGAAAGGUUUACUGCCGAAGGAUCGGCCCGCGUCUGAUUAGCUAGUUGGUGGGGUAACGGCCUACCAAGGCGACGAUCAGUAGCUGGUCUGAGAGGAUGAUCAGCCACACUGGGACUGAGACACGGCCCAGACUCCUUCGGGAGGCAGCAGUGGGGAAUAUUGGACAAUGGGCGCAAGCCUGAUCCAGCCAUGCCGCGUGAGUGAUGAAGGCCUUAGGGUUGUAAAGCUCUUUUGUCCGGGACGAUAAUGACGGUACCGGAAGAAUAAGCCCCGGCUAACUUCGUG